UACGCAUCCAGAGCAAGAUAUAAAUCGAUAAGAUAUCGAGGAAUUAAAUUACGUACCUUAGGAUACGCAACGAGACGCAGAGCAUCGGGAUUGUUUUCGAAGCUUAUUAAUUUUGAGAAAGCGAUAUAUCAAUAUCUCACUGUGUUAUACGAUACAACGCAAUGAUGCAAGCAUCGCACGAUUAUUAUUUCCACACAUGCACAAGAUGAACUUCAUCUCUCGAAACAUGAUAACGGAUACACAGAAACUUUCCCUCCUGCAUUUCG